UGUGGGAGCGAGCCUGCUCGCGACAGCGUCGGGUCAGUAGACCGGGUAAUGACUGGCACACCAUUAUCGCGAGCAGGCUCGCUCCCACA
rnacentral:misc_RNA from 1 species